UACAGAGGUGGCAAGCGUUGUUCGGAAUUACUGGGCGUAAAGGGCGCGUAGGCGGCCUUCUAAGUCAGACGUGAAAUCCCCCGGCUUAACCUGGGAACUGCGUCUGAUACUGGGAGGCUUGAGUAUGGGAGAGGGAUGUAGAAUUCCCAGUGUAGAGGUGAAAUUCGUAGAUAUUGGGAAGAACACCGGUGGCGAAGGCGGCGACCUGGUCCGAUACUGACGCUGAGGCGCGAAAGCGUGGGGAGCAAACAGG
rnacentral:rRNA from 1 species